UGGGGAAUAUUGGACAAUGGGGGCAACCCUGAUCCAGCCAUGCCGCGUGUGUGAAGAAGGCCUUUUGGUUGUAAAGCACUUUAAGCAGGGAGGAGAGGCUAAUGGUUAAUACCCAUUAGAUUAGACGUUACCUGCAGAAUAAGCACCGGCUAACUCUGUGCCAGCAGCCGCGGUAAUACAGAGGGUGCGAGCGUUAAUCGGAAUUACUGGGCGUAAAGCGAGUGUAGGUGGCUCAUUAAGUCACAUGUGAAAUCCCCGGGCUUAACCUGGGAACUGCAUGUGAUACUGGUGGUGCUAGAAUAUGUGAGAGGGAAGUAGAAUUCCAGGUGUAGCGGCGAAAUGCGUAGAGAUCUGGAGGAAUACCGAUGGCGAAGGCAGCUUCCUGGCAUAAUAUUGACACUGAGAUUCGAAAGCGUGGGUAGCAAAACAGGAUUAGAUACCCUGGUAGUCCACGCCGUAAAACGAUGUCUACUAGCCGUUGGGGUCCUCGAGACUUUAGUGGCGCAGUUAACGCGAUAAGUAGACCGCCUGGGGGAG
rnacentral:rRNA from 1 species